rnacentral:pre_miRNA from 1 species
UAUCUACUCCCUCCGUCCCAAAAUUCUUGUCUUAAAUUUGUCUAUAUAUGAAUGUAUCUAGUCACAUUUUAGCAUGCAGAUACAUCCAUUUCUAGACAAAUCUAAGACAUGAAUUUUGGGACGGUGGGAGUAUAAU